rnacentral:rRNA from 1 species
UACGGGGGGAGCAAGCGUUGUUCGGAUUUACUGGGCGUAAAGGGCGCGUAGGCGGCCAGCACAAGUCAGUUGUGAAAUCUCCGGGCUUAACUCGGAAAGGUCAACUGAUACUGUGCGGCUAGAGUGCAGAAGGGGCAACUGGAAUUCUCGGUGUAGCGGUGAAAUGCGUAGAUAUCGAGAGGAACACCAGUGGCGAAGGCGGCUUUCUGGUCUGCUCUUGACGCUGAGGCGCGAAAGCUAGGGUAGCAAACGGG